CUACGGGGUGCACCAGUGAGGAAUAUUGCACAAUGGGGGGAACCCUGAUGCAGCAACGCCGCGUGGAGGAUGACGCAUUUCGGUGUGUAAACUCCUUUUAUAUGUCAAGAAAAUGACGGUAGCAUAUGAAUAAGCACCGAGCUAACUCCGUGCCAGCAGCCGCGGUAAUACGGAGGGUGCAAGCGUUACUCGGAAUCACUGGGCGUAAAGGACGCGUAGGCGGGUUGGAAAGUCAGGUGUGAAAUCCUACAGCUUAACUGUAGAAUUGCACUUGAAACUUCUAAUCUAGAGUAUGGGAGGGGGAGAUGGAAUUAGUGGUGUAGGGGUAAAAUCCGUAGAUAUCACUAGGAAUACCUAAAGCGAAGGCGAUCUCCUGGAACAUUACUGACGCUAAGGCGUGAAAGCGUGGGGAGCAAACAGGAUUAGAUACCCGCGUAGUC
rnacentral:rRNA from 1 species